AUUGAACGCUGGCGGCAUGCCUUACACAUGCAAGUCGAACGGCAGCGCGGGAGCAAUCCUGGUGGCGAGUGGCGAACGGGUGAGUAAUACAUCGGAACGUGCCCAGUAGUGGGGGAUAGCCCGGCGAAAGCCGGAUUAAUACCGCAUACGACCUGAGGGUGAAAGCGGGGGAUCGCAAGACCUCGCGCUAUCGGAGCGGCCGAUGUCGGAUUAGCUAGUUGGUGGGGUAAAGGCUCACCAAGGCGACGAUCCGUAGCUGGUCUGAGAGGACGACCAGCCACACUGGGACUGAGACACGGCCCAGACUCCUACGGGAGGCAGCAGUGGGGAAUUUUGGACAAUGGGCGCAAGCCUGAUCCAGCCAUGCCGCGUGCGGGAAGAAGGCCUUCGGGUUGUAAACCGCUUUUGUCAGGGAAGAAACGCUCUGGGCUAAUACCCCGGGGUAAUGACGGUACCUGAAGAAUAAGCACCGGCUAACUACGUGCCAGCAGCCGCCGUAAUAC
rnacentral:rRNA from 1 species